rnacentral:rRNA from 1 species
AGAGGUCACUGCUAUCAGUGUUCGACUAAGCCAUGCAAGUCAAAUGUUCUUCGUGAACAUGGCGGACUGCUCAGUAACACGUGGAUAACCUGCCCUUAGGAUUGGCAUAACACCGGGAAACUGGUGAUAAUACCGAAUAGACCAUUUAUGCUGGAAUGCUUCUUGGUUCAAAGGCUUCGGCUGCCUAAGGAUGGAUCUGCGGCCUAUCAGGUAGUAGUGGGUGUAAUAUACCUACUAGCCUACGACGGGUACGGGUUGUGAGAGCAAGAGCCCGGAGAUGGAUUCUGAGACAUGAAUCCAGGCCCUACGGGGCGCAGCAGGCGCGAAAACUUUACAAUGCGGGAAACCGCGAUAAGGGGACACUGAGUGCCAGCAUAUUAUGUUGGCUGUCCACAUGUAUAAAAACCAUGUGUUAGCAAGGGCCGGGCAAGACCGGUGCCAGCCGCCGCGGUAACACCGGCGGCCCGAGUGGUGAUCACUUUUAUUGGGUCUAAAGGG